rnacentral:rRNA from 1 species
AUUGAACGCUGGCGGCAGGCUUAACACAUGCAAGUCGAGCGGGGUGAUGGUGCUUGCACUAUCACUUAGCGGCGGACGGGUGAGUAAUGCUUAGGAAUCUGCCUAUUAGUGGGGGACAACAUCUCGAAAGGGAUGCUAAUACCGCAUACGUCCUACGGGAGAAAGCAGGGGAUCACUUGUGACCUUGUGCUAAUAGCUGAGCCUAAGUCGGAUUAGCUAGUUGGUGGGGUAAAGGCCUACGAAGGCGACGAUCUGUAGCGGGUAUGAGAGGAUGAUCCGCCACACUGGGACUGAGACACGGCCCAGACUCCUACGGGAGGCAGCAGUGGGGAAUAUUGGACAAUGGGGGAACCCUGAUCCAGCCAUGCCGCGUGUGUGAAGAAGGCCUUAUGGUUGUAAAGCACUUUAAGCGAGGAGGAGGCUCUUUUGGUUAAUACCCAAGAUGAGUGGACGUUACUCGCAGAAUAAGCACCGGCCAACUCCGUGCCAGCAGCCGCCGUAA